AAAAAAAAAAAAUAUAUAUAUAUAUAUAUAUAUAUAUAUAUAUAUAUAUAUAUAUAUAUAUAUAUAUAGAACUAGGCUGGAAUACUAUCAAUAAAAUCAACUUAUUAGUGCUAUUAGUUUUUUAACCUUUGAAUUGAAAAAUAUACGGUUAGAAUGAUGUGGGCUCCCUAAGGUUGAGUAGGUGGUUGGUUGAAUAGUAUAAUCUAACGGGUAAAAAUAAUCAAAAGGGUUUAAUCUAACGGCAGAAAACUUGAUAGCACAAAGUGCUUGGUGCUAUUGAUAGUAUAGUAGUCGGACUAUAUAUAUAUAUAUAUAUAUAUAUA
rnacentral:lncRNA from 1 species